UACGGAUUGAGCCAAGAGAACUGAGAGAGGGGAAGUCUCAGUCUUACUGUCAGACUAUAGAAAUAAGCUGAACAACACAGCUUAGCUGCUUGGUAAAUACACCUGUGUUUGCUUAGUUUAGGUUGGGUUAGGUUUUUGUUUGGAGAAAACUGAACAGGGCUUUGAAGUGUUAAAAGCUACUGAGACACCCCAAAAUUUCACACAUGCCAGACAGCUUAUGAAAGCUGGUCACAGGAGGGAGAGUGAUACAGAUUGGCAUAUUCUGCAGAGAAAUUACCCACCAGGCUGCACACAAGGCAGAAGCCUUUAUUUGAAUGGGUCUCUUCAGAGAUGUGUGAUGCAAUCUGAGUUUCCUAUCAGAAGAGAAAUUCAAAGCUGCUAUAAUUAUCCCAGCAUUACUAAGAGCCAUGUUUCCUGUGGAUUCAACACUGUAAAGUUCCUUACCUGAAAUGACCUAACUGCUUCUUGCUAGUUUCUUGAUGCAGAUUUGAUAUGGCAGAUUUAUGUUUUAAACUCCUAAUCUUCAUCAGAUCAUUCUGCUACUAUAGCAAUUUUUCUGCUAUAAGAGCUAUUAAACCAGAAUAAAUAUUUAAUUGCAAACA
rnacentral:lncRNA from 1 species